AUUGGAAUUUGUAUCAAGUAGACUUUCAUCUCUCUCACUUUAUUGAAAUUAUUGCUGUUUUUUAGGUCACAGCAAUCCUGCUGCUUCAUUACCAAAUUCAGUGGGCAACUCUCGGUAAUAUCAUGCCGGUCCUAGCAUUGGCACAGUGUAUCACUCACCUUCUGUGAUGCUGUGUUCAGCUGUUCCUGGUGAUCCACUCUUGACUUUACAUCAUGUCCCAGUGGCUACUUCUGAAUCCUGCUUGCUGGGACUCCUGUCUGAGAUUAUUUCUUCUGCUGCAAAAAGAAUACUCAAGGUGUAGCAGUGGAAAUAGAAAACUUCAGUAGUAAACUUGGAUUGGGAAGUCCUAACCUGUAUCUGUAAGUAUGUAUAACCUGGAUGUACAGUAAUUAAAAUGAAAAGUUUUAUGUAAUCCCAG
rnacentral:lncRNA from 1 species